GACAGAGGGUGCAAACGUUGUUCGGAUUUACUGGGCGUAAAGCGUGUGUAGGCGGCUUCGCAAGUUGGAUGUGAAAUCCCACGGCUCAACCGUGGACGUGCAUCCAAAACUGCGUCGCUAGAGUCUCGGAGAGGAAGGUGGAAUGCUUGGUGUAGAGGUGAAAUUCGUAGAUAUCAAGCAGAACACCUGCGGCGAAGGCGGCCUUCUGGACGAUGACUGACGCUGAGACACGAAAGCGUGGGGAGCAAACGGG
rnacentral:rRNA from 1 species